rnacentral:tRNA from 1 species
UCCCAUAUAGAUCAGUCAGUAAAGCAUCUGCCUACAAUGCAGGAGACCUGGGUUCAAUUCCUGGGUUGGGAA